GCCGCAGUAGCUCAGUCGGUAGAGCAACGCACUCGUAACGCGUAGGUCACCAGUUCGAUUCCGGUCUGCGGCA
rnacentral:tRNA from 1 species